rnacentral:rRNA from 1 species
GGGCCCGCACAAGCGGUGGAGUAUGUGGUUUAAUUCGAUGCAACGCGAAGAACCUUACCAGGGUUUGACAUCCUGCGAAUCUCUUGGAAACAGGAGAGUGCCUUCGGGAACGCAGUGACAGGUGGUGCAUGGCUGUCGUCAGCUCGUGUCGUGAGAUGUUGGGUUAAGUCCCGCAACGAGCGCAACCCACGUCUUUAGUUGCCAGCAUUUAGUUGGGCACUCUAGAGAGACUGCCGGUGAUAAACCGGAGGAAGGUGUGGAUGACGUCAAGUCAUCAUGCCCCUUACAUCCUGGGCUACACACGUACUACAAUGCUACGGACAAAGGGCAGCAAGUUCGGAUUGUCCUCUGCAACUCGAGGGCAUGAAGGCGGAAUCGCUAGUAAUCGCGAAUCAGAAUGUC